GACGGAGGAUGCAAGCAUUAUCCGGAAUGAUUGGGCGUAAAGGGUCCGCAGGUGGCAGUGUAAGUCUGCUGUCAAAGAAUGAGGCUUAACCUUAUCAAGGCAGUGGAAACUACACAGCUAGAGUACGGUCGGGGUAGAAGGAAUUCCUGGUGUAGCGGUGAAAUGCGUAGAGAUCAGGAAGAACACCGGUGGCGAAAGCGUUCUGCUAGACCUGUACUGACACUGAGGGACGAAAGCUAGGGGAGCGAAUGGG
rnacentral:rRNA from 1 species